GCGGAGUUAUAGAUCGACGUCCGCACAUGGCGGCCAUCUUGGUAAGGGCAAGCUUUCCCGGCGUGCUCUAUGGUACCUGAGGAAUUUUCUGACUAUUGCCAGUGAAGAUGCCAUGCUUUUGUGCCUACGGAUGCCCUAAUCACCUUCCACCGGUUUCCCAAAACCAGAGAGCAGAGGAAGAAGUGGGAAGUUUCCCUGAGGAGGGAUGGGUUUGCUGCCUCUCACUGGACAAUGCUCUGCAGUGAGCACUUCAGGAAGGAGGACUUUGACAGGACGGGGCAGAUUGUUAUUAAUUAAUUAAUUGUCUUAUUAAUUAUUAUUAUAAGUUAUGACAUUAUUAUAUUAACUCAAAUUUCAGGAUUUGUUGUGCGACGGGCUCUGAAGAAGCUGUCCUGUGAUGUCUGCCGUAAACAGACGCUGCAUCUGCCAUCAAGGACCAGAGCUACCAGCUGCAGUCUUUAAAGAACAAUGGAGGCCUGGUGAUUCCAUCAGAGGGCACAGUGAGGGUCGUCAGGGCAGCGGUGUGGGACUCGCAGUGUGGCAUAGACAGCCACCGCCAUGCGCUGGUGACAUUAGUUCUGUCCCUGUUUUUUAAGCUGACGCUUCACCACAGUCGCUUGAAACGACUACACUUAGCUUACAGAGCGACAGAAGCUCAAUAAAACGGCCCUUUUCGAAAGGGCUUCAGUCCAAUGUUACAACCUUGAUGGGUCUCUCUCUGUGUGGGGAUUUCAACAUGCAGCAUUUCUUCGUGUAUAUUUGUAAAGACACAUCUUGUACUCUUGUGCAUGUCUAUUCUAUGAUUCUGGGUUAUGAUCAUUUAUCAAACUCAAUUACAAAUGUUAAAUCCCCCAAAUAAAUUCAUAGUUAAAAAUACACUGGAUCCAUGUGUGUCAGUGUAUUUCAAUGAAAGAUUGUGCCGGGGCUUUCUUUCAUGCCCUUUGUACACUGAUAAGCACACACAUUCAAAGGUCACAGGUCACAAAUGUGUAAAUUCCCCUAUCGACCUAUUCAUUCUAUCCACAAGAAACCCAAUUCCAAGCCUGUUGGACACCAAGACUGGAUGAACGUUCUGAAGUCAAUUCUUCAACAGAUUUGCACAUCGCUCAUCCUCCCUUCCCCCAGUCCAGUCCUCCCUGCUUCUGCAAACCCUUAUUGCCGGCAACUUGUGUAUUGCCCAGCCCCAAACCCCAUCCCCCUUCCCACAACACCCUCAACAUACACUGCUCUUCUUGUUCCAAGCCCACCCCCCCAACACCAACCUUAAACACACAAACCCUACCCCCAUUUUGUCCCUCACAAUAAACACCGCAAAGAAAGGACUGAAGAAUAUCAAGGCGAGAUGGUAUCCGCUCAACGCCUGACCAGCUUUGUGGGACAUUUUAAGAACAUCUUCAAACCACAGCUG